rnacentral:rRNA from 1 species
CACACCGCCCGUCACACCAUGGGAGUCAGUUGUACCGGAAGCCGGCGAUCGAACCCGCAAGGGGCGUAGCCGUCCAUCGGUAUGGCUGGUGACUGGGGUG